rnacentral:rRNA from 1 species
CCUACGGGUGGCAGCAGUGAGGAAUAUUGGUCAAUGGACGGAAGUCUGAACCAGCCAUGCCGCGUGCAGGAUGACGGCCCUAUGAGUUGUAAACUGCUUUUGUACAAGGGUAAACCUGAAUACGUGUAUUCAGCUGAAAGUACUGUACGAAUAAGGACCGGCUAACUCCGUGCCAGCAGCCGCGGGAAUACGGAGGAUCCACGCGUUAUCCGGAUUUAUUGGGUUUAAAGGGGGCGUAGGCGGAUUGAUAAGUUAGAGGUGAAAUGUCCGAGCGUAACUCGGGAACUGCCUCGAAUACUGGUGAGCUUGAGAGUAGAUGCGGUAGGCGGAAUGUAUGGUGUAGCGGUGAAAUGCUUAGAGAUCAGACAGAACACCGAUUGCGAAGGCAGCUUACCAAUCUAUAUCUGACGUUGAGGAACGAAAGCGUGGGGAGCAAACAGGAUUAGAUACCCUUGUAGUC